rnacentral:rRNA from 1 species
CCUACGGGGAGCAGCAGUGGGGAAUAUUGCGCAAUGGGCGAAAGCCUGACGCAGCGACGCCGCGUGAGGGAUGAAGGUCUUCGGAUCGUAAACCUCUGUCAGCAGGGAAGAAAGGUCACUGUGCUAAUCAGCAGUGAAUUGACGGUACCUGCAAAGGAAGCACCGGCUAACUCCGUGCCAGCAGCCGCGGUAAUACGGAGGGUGGGAGCGUUAAUCGGAAUUACGGGGCGUAAAGCUCUCGUAGGCGUUAGGUCAAGUCAAGGGUGAAAUCCCCGCGCUCCACGUGGGAACUGCCUUUGAAACUGGCAAACUGGAGUGUGUGAGAGGAUAGUGGAAUUCCAGGUGUAGGAGUGAAAUCCGUAGAUAUCUGGAGGAACAUCAGUGGCGAAGGCGACUAUCUGGCACAUAACUGACGCUGAGGAGCGAAAGCGUGGGUAGCAAACAGGAUUAGAUACCCUGGUAGUC